UUGCACCGGGCAAGUCCUACACAACCAGCUCCUGCUGAACUCCCCCAGGGCGGGAACGCAGCAAGGGUAAGCGGUCGUAGCGGUGUGAUGUAGGUAGCUUGCCUUUUU
rfam:Nonlabens spongiae strain JCM 13191, complete genome.